UGGGGAAUAUUGGGCAAUGGGCGCAAGCCUGACCCAGCAAUGCCGCGUGAAGGAAGAAGGCCCUCUGUUUGUAAACUUCUUUUAUCAUGGACGAAGGAUGUGACGGUACCUGAUGAAUAAGCUCCGGCUAACUACGUGCCAGCAGCCGCGGUAAUACGUAGGGAGCAAGCGUUAUCCGGAUUUACUGGGUGUAAAGGGCGCGUAGGCGGGAUGGCAAGUCAGAUGUGAAAUCUAUGGGCUUAACCCAUAAACUGCAUUUGAAACUGUCGUUCUUGAGUACUGGAGAGGUUGACGGAAUUCCUAGUGUAGCGGUGAAAUGCGUAGAUAUUAGGAGGAACACCAGUGGCGAAGGCGGUAAACUGGACAGCAACUGACGCUGAGGCGCGAAAGCGUGGGGAGCAAACAGG
rnacentral:rRNA from 1 species